UGGCGGACGGGUGAGUAAUGUCUGGGAAACUGCCUGAUGGAGGGGGAUAACUACUGGAAACGGUAGCUAAUACCGCAUAACGUCGCAAGACCAAAGAGGGGGACCUUCGGGCCUCUUGCCAUCGGAUGUGCCCAGAUGGGAUUAGCUUGUUGGUGGGGUAACGGCUCACCAAGGCGACGAUCCCUAGCUGGUCUGAGAGGAUGACCGGCCACACUGGAACUGAGACACGGUCCAGACUCCUACGGGAGGCAGCAUG
rnacentral:rRNA from 1 species